rnacentral:sRNA from 1 species
AACACGGAGAAAGCCGCGUGCCCCGCGGUCG